GGCCCGAUGCCACGUCUCCGGGAGCCACAAGCCUUGACAGGAGAUGCUACAUUGCGCCGACAGAGAUCUUCACAUUUGAUAGGAACCUGUGACUGUGAUUCAGUCGGUACACAGAGCCGUUUUUUGUGAUUACGCUU
rnacentral:snoRNA from 1 species